ensembl:snRNA U7 U7 small nuclear RNA
GAGUGUUACAGCUCUUUUAGAAUUUGUCUAGCAGGUUUUCUGGCUUUUAGCUGGAGAACCCUU